UAAAGGACCUGCCAAGGCUGGCGAUGGAUUUGGCAAAAAGGAUGUGUUGCAGUGCAGCCAGGCCUUAGCAACCAGAUUGCUCAUCAGGGUUCUUUUACUCAAGGAAUGAGCUAUAUGCAUUCUCAGAACUUGUUCGGGGGAAAGGCCAUCAAGUACUCCUGUAGGAAGCUCUCUGAACCAGGCCUUAAUUAGACCUGCUAUGCAAUGAACAUCAAUGUCAUCAGCCCCUUUUAGCCAAGUCAGAUGACUGUCAGAGAACUGUGAUUUCAACAUAAAUUGUCCUGGUAAAUUUUCUUGAGACUUUCUUCUCUUGUUCCUUUGAGGCAGGCAGUGCAUCUCUAUCCGUAAAGAUCUUAUAUCUGAAUUCGUCCUCUCUCCUUAAUUGCUAAAACUUCAAUUUUUUUUUCAUUUUUUUUCCAGGGCACUGACUUUGAAUAGUUCACACAUGCAUUGGAUUACUUCCAUAUCUUGGUCUAGUCCUGCAUCAAUAUAAAAGAAACUUAGUUCUUAUGCAUAUUUGAAUUGGUUGAAAUGUAUGGAAAAUUCAACUCCCAAAAAUUUGCCACAAAGGACUUGUAUUGGACUUGCAGUCUAUGAACUCUUUCUGAAGGUCAGGAAAAAAAUAAUAUAACCUACCUUUUCCUUGUUCUUUAUACCUGGUUCUCUCUAUAUGUUAUCAAUGUGCUUUUAUGAAGCUGGUUGUAUUCUUUGCAUUAAUAUAUAAUUCUAUAAAAAACUGAUCAUCUACAACCACUUGUAUGCAACGACCCUUUCUUCUUCUUCCUCUUGCCCUGUCAGUCCUGUAUUAUAAUAUGGGAAAGUAUCCAGUGCUUAAUGCUUACAUUAAAGUUGGUUGUCAAGUACUCUUAUCUUGAUACACAGCAUACGUGGACGCCAAGGCAUUCAUCUAUCCCUAGUGCAGGUGGGCCAUUCUCCAACACUUGUAAUGGUUUGGAUAAUCCUAACCACUAAUUUUAGGGUUUUCUUUUUUCAUCAAACUAAAGACUAUUUUUCAGUUUUUUUUUUCUAAUCGUCCAUUUGUAAUCAUCAAAAGCCUUCCAAUCAGUGCCUAGGAUCCAACCAGUGUAAUUUGUAACACAUUGCCCAUCAUCUUUAGGGGCUAGCAGAUGAACAGUCUUGAUUUCUCAAGUGUUUGCCACAUGUAAAGAGAUACAAGUGCUUGAUUAUUAACUUAGAUUAAAAUAAGAGACACCACUAGCUAUAGAUGAGAAAUUUGUGCAACUGGUUGCGUGUGGGACCUGUUAUGGCGUGUGAUAUCCAACUGACAGUGUUGCCCAACCAUGAAGAUCUGUGCAUGCAUGCUUACGUGAGUACAGCUUACCUCCUGUUAAAGAGGCAUUUGUAGGAUGACCUAUCUAGGAAUGCUUUCUAUUCUUUAGGUUGUCAUAGUAAUGAUUAUCAGUUGUGCUGUUGGCAUUUUAUUAGUUUUGUAUUUUAUAUACCUAAGAUACCUGACUUUGGUUUAGCAAAGCUUGUAGGAUGGCCUUUGAUGGUUGCUGUCCCGAUUGCAAAUUCCCAAGCAAUGACUGCCCGCUAAGUGAGUUCAUGAUUUGAGUGCAGCUUACCUAUUAUAUAUGGAUGUAAGUUGUCAUGGUCAUGAAUAAAAUCAUUUUUGACUCAUUUCUUCUUGGAAAUGAAGUGGAAAUGAAUAAAUCCUCUCUCUACAUGUGAAACUGUGGUCCUGUUCUCAUCCAAACAAUCUGGAUAUGCUUUGCAUUAGCAAUAUUUCUACCUGUAAAAGCCUGGUUUGGGUUGUACCAAAGGUCCAAAACAUGUUGUUCCUGAGUUUCACAAACAAUCCAAUUACCCUUAAUUUUGCAGCUAACCAAACUUCAAGGUGAAAAAUUAGGCUGAUUUCAUAGAGCACAAACUGCUACAGUUUUGUUCUGGUCUAGUAGGUGGUCAAUACUCAACUGCUAUUAUAUCCUUAGUUCUGUGAUUUUGCCUAUGCUCUUGACUACCAUAAGACACCAAUGCCCUUGAAUUUCAAAGAUGACCACCAUUCCCUUUCUUCUCAGCUCUUGGUGUGAGCCAAUGGGCUGCACAUUUUGUAAAAGUUUGCAUGCAACUCUAACAUUUGUUCUUUAUGCUACAUGAUAUUCUGCUAGUUGAGAUCCACAACUUACUGAUUGUAAAUGGAUCUAACUCGCAAAAUGGAAAAAGGAGACGUUGCAAGAUUGAGUUAACUGAAGAAGAGAAACUAAUCUCAUCUUUUAUAUUAAAUUCAAUAGGAAUUAAAAAUGCUAGAGUUAUUUAUCCAUUGAAGUAAACCUAGGCCCUGUUUGGAUAUGAGGAAUCUGUGGAAAAGAAUUCUUUUUGCAGAAAACUACUGCUGUUUUUUGUUUACACUGUUUGGAUUGUAAAAGAGUUUAUGUGUAGGUGUGAUUGUGGAUGUUCUCUGUCAAGUAGCAUAAUUUUGAUAUUUACAACCAAUGUGGAUGUUUCCAACACAAUGAAAAUGGCCAUUUGGUAAUAUUCUGCAGAUCCAAUGCAGUUUGGCUAUAUUCCCAUCAUCUUUGUAUUUGACAGUAUUUCCUUGGUUUCAUUUGUUGAACCUCUUCUUUUACAGGAGAGGCUUAUCUAAAUUAGAAAUACAUUUUCUUGAGGAACUAUUCAGCUUACUUUUUGGCUGCGAGUUCCUUUAUACUUUUUUUUUGUAGCAUCUUUUUAAGUUUAGAGUCAUGAAUUCAUUAUUAGAAUAUGAGAUAACUGUUUUAGUUUUCCAGAAUUCUGAUGAAAACUUUCUGUAUGUUGAUUAAUUUGUGCCAUAUCUUCAGAUUAACCUAGAGACAAAAUUGUAUAAUUCUUUUAUAGCAAAAAUUAAAUUUCUCAGAUUCCUAACCUUGUCAUCUUUUUGGCUGCCACAUGAGUGAUAAAUUGAGUGGAAGUUUUCUCGAGUAUAAUUCUUUUACAAGAAAAAUUAAAUUUCUCAGAUUCCUAAGCUAGUCAUCAUUAUUAACUGACGCAUGACUGAAAAAUAUGAGCAGAAGUUUUCUCGAGGUGUUUUUCUUGACCCCAUCUUUUCUUUCAUUCUCCUACCUUUGGACGGUGGCCUCCACACUCCACAGUAUUUGGAAAGCACCAAUCCAUAUUAAGCUAUCUGCGUUUAAUGGGAACAGUGAGGUAGUGGAUAGUAACUCAUUAGGUGGGAAUUUUCAUUCCGUACCUAAUCUAAUUACCUCCGCCGACAUACCUUUUAAGGAUUUUAGAUUCUGGUACCUUCCAUUAGAUUGCUGUAAUGAAUGCUAGUUGAAAUGGUUUUUAUUUAUUUAUUUAUUAUUUUUUUUAAUGACAAAAAUGCUUCUCUCUACAAGGACAAACUUGAGUAAUUCGAUACGCUGCAUAUCCAUUAAUCGAGUAGUUAAUGGGUGCCUAUUUAUCACACUAUGCCACAACUAUUCCAGGGCCUGGGAAUAAAAAAAUGUCGACUUGCUUCAAUAACAUAACCUAUUCUCAAUCUCUCUCAUGGCUAUCAACUAGUUCCAACUUGUAAGAGGUUGUACAGAAAAACUGUACUUGAUUGACUUCAUUUAGCAGUCUUUUUAGUUACAGCAUAAUGUGGUUGCUUGUGAACCUACAUCAACUCCCUCAUACAGCUUAGCUACCAUGACAUUUUUGCAACCAAUUAAUUUUUUUUUAUCUUUUAUUUUGCAUGCUCCAAUGAAAUCUAUGUAAAAAUGUAGAGGCAAUGAGAACUCUGCUGCUUACUCUGUGAUUAAAUUAAAUAUCUAGAGAUUCUGUUCUUCAAUCUCUUAGGGAGUUGGCUAGAAAACCAGCUGAACAAUUAUUUGUAAAUAGUCCUAUGGUGUUUCUGCAUCUUUUUUCAGCAUGCAUAAAUUGGUUCAGAUUAGUUGGUACAAACAAUAAGGUUCUAGUCCUCAUGUAGAUCCUCAAUUUACUUGCAUU